rnacentral:rRNA from 1 species
AUUGAACGCUGGCGGCAGGCCUAACACAUGCAAGUCGAGCGGAUGAAGGGAGCUUGCUCCUGGAUUCAGCGGCGGACGGGUGAGUAAUGCCUAGGAAUCUGCCUGGUAGUGGGGGAUAACGUCCGGAAACGGGCGCUAAUAGCGCAUACGUCCUGAGGGAGAAAGUGGGGGAUCUUCGGACCUCACGCUAUCAGAUGAGCCUAGGUCGGAUUAGCUUGUUGGUGGGGUAAAGGCCUACCAAGGCGACGAUCCGUAACUGGUCUGAGAGGAUGAUCAGUCACACUGGAACUGAGACACGGUCCAGACUCCUACGGGAGGCAGCAGUGGGGAAUAUUGGACAAUGGGCGAAAGCCUGAUCCAGCCAUGCCGCGUGUGUGAAGAAGGUCUUCGGAUUGUAAAGCACUUUAAGUUGGGAGGAAGGGCAGUAAGUUAAUACCUUGCUGUUUUGACGUUACCAACAGAAUAAGCACCGGCUAACUUCGUG